rnacentral:lncRNA from 1 species
AUCCUCUUCUUCAGAUCACUUAUCUCUGCCCCCACCUCCUCGGAGCGCAGCACCAUCCCAGCCUUUCCUCCUCCUUCCCCCCCCCCGCCACUUCCCCUGAUCUGCCCCUUUAAGAAAAAGCGACCUUUCUCUCUCUCCCUAACCCUUUACAUGCUGCCCUUCCCCAGUGGACAAUAUUUAAAGAUGGAAGGUAACAUCCAGGAAGAGGUGACUUUGCCCUUUUUUUUAUUCGGACGAUGGUUUCUAUGCUAUGCUGGGGUGGGACGGGGAGGGGUGGGGGGUGUAUGUGGCUGGGGUAUUUUUUUUUGGGGGGGGGGGUAACUGGUCCAUUGCAUGCUGUACUUUACAAGUCUAAUUAUUCUUUUCCUAGCAACCGGUCUGUUGCAGCUGGUCAAUUGCACGCUGCCCUUUUGCAGAUCUGUUAUUAUUUUCUGGUCACUAGUUAGCCGUCUCUUUCAACCAGCCAACUGCACGCUGCACUUUACAGAUCUAAUGAUUUUGCUAUUAUUUGGCUAUUAGCUGCUAUUCUCAUCAAUGGGGCAGUCGCGAUGGGCUCUUUUCCCCCACGCCUGAUAUAUUAUAUAUAUGAUAUAUCAUGAUAUAUUAUGAUUAUAUAUAUAUACACACACACCCGCUUUCUUCUCGCAUGAUCCGCUGCAUGCUUACUCGCGAGUAAACGCCCCACCUUCUUCCACAGGGGCUUACUCUUCUCUCCCCCCCCCCCCCACCAGCCACCCAUUCCGGGCAAUUGUGAAUAUCUGGAUGUCUGAUCUCCCCCACCCUUCCCUAAGGCCAGGUUUACUCGGAAGUUUCUUUUAUUGAUUACAGUGGGAUUUACCUCCAGGUAGGCAGGUUGAGGAAGAUCGCAGCCGCGGCUGAGGUUGACUGCAGAAGCUGUGGCCGUUUCCCUACUCGGCGGGGGCUUAUAGAAUUACCAGGGUGCACAGUCGAUGUUUAGGUGCACAGACUUCUUCUACCUUUUACCAUGUCUUUCUCCCAGUUUUGCCCCGUUACCGAAAAACGUGCAUCCCCUUCCACUCCAGUGCAUUUAAGCCAAUCUGGCGGGCAACAUGAAAACUCCCCCUGCACACGCAAACGACUUUCGUUUUCCUAACGAUCGGCGCAUUCUUUCCCACCCUGUCCCCAAUCCAUUUACAAUAAAAUUUGGGUGGGUUGGGGGCUUUCGGUUCUCUCUCCUCCCAGCCCCCCCCCUCCAACAGCCGGUUUAAACGAUUCUGUCUCCAUCGUGGUGCUUGUUUAAAACACGCUAAAACCUGAUCGUGGGUCCUCGAGAUGUGUGUGUGUAGGGAAGCAUCUGGGAUGCGACCCGCUGCUGAAGCCUGGGCUUACUCUGAAGUAAGCUUCCGCCAAGCUGAAUGGGUCUUGGCUCCCCAGCGGGCUAGCACUGCAAAGCAGCCUUCAGGGUCGAAGCACUUCAGACCAGAACUUCGCAAUACGACUUCCCACGAGCUCAGGAACCUUGUCAGCUCCCCAGGAAACGUUCCCAAUGAAUCGCUGUGGCCUUACUCGGAAGUAAAGAGUAAGGGGGUCCUUUAACGCCUAGUUAAAUGGAGUUAAGCUGGCCGAUCCCCCGGGCAGCCUGACUCGGAAGACAAUUCAUAUUUGUUUGUUUUUUACCCAAUGGGCCGCAUUCCUAUGCAAGCUUACUUGGGAGUAAGGCUCAAUGAACUCAAACGUGGCAAGCUGCUAAUUCACAAGUAAGUAUGCGCAGGAUGGAAGAGCUCAGCCACUCAGGCAGCCUGGGCACCGGCUCCUUCUCUCUCUGAUCUCUGACUUACCUAUUUUGCCACAGCGAUGAAUGUGUCCUGCUCAAAAACAAAAAACAUGAGGUUCUGAUCUAAGCAAGUUCACCUGCUCUACGGCGCUUCCUGUUCAUACAUAUAUAUGUAUUUACACGCUAUUCUCUAUUCUUACUCCUCCUUUCUUCCAACUAAUUUUUAUUAUAACAGCCUUUCCACUUGAAUGUUGGACUCUGCUUUUUACAGGUCCGGGGGUGUUGCUUUAGAAGGGAUCAAGGCGGUAAGUAUCAUUUUCAGGUCCUUUAAUUAAUAUAUAUAUUAUCAUCAUUAUCUAUUUCAAAUGCUUGGUUGUCCUUUAUAGAAACGACCCUAUUCUCCUGGGCAAUGGAUGGAAAUGGAGAAAGCUGGAUCUUUGGAUUCCUGAAUUUUUCAGGAAUCCCCGGAAAUGGGAAAGUGGGUGGAGGACAUUAGCCCCCCUCCCCGGAGUAAAAAGCCUGGCUGGAUCAGUAUUAAUUAAUUACUCCCUUUGGGAAUUCAAGGGCCCAGGAGAGAUGGUGACUGGAAAGGAUACAUUGCGUGCUGUGUGUGGGGUGUUUAUAAAAUAUAAAGGGAAAGGGAAUGUCAAGAAGCCUUCAAGAAAAUAAACCAGAUUUUUUUUAAUGCGGGUGGGGGGGGGGGGAGAAGACACAGGACAAGGGGCGUUCACACCCCACCCCCAGCAAAAUAAAAAAGCAGCCUAGCAGCCGACCGGCAGGUGGGAGAUAUGAGGAGAGAAUAAAGUUUGAGGUUGAAAACUGCAUACUUUAUUACUAGAAUGAAGUACAAUGAAAUAAAUUAUUAUUAUUAUUAAGAUUAUAGAAGAUUUUCUCUUUUUUUGUAUCUAGAUUUAUAUUAAUCCUGUUGUGGUCAGGGCAAAGGAGGUCUGAAAACAUUUGUUAUUUUUUCAAGUGGGGGACGGGGACAGAAGAGAGAGGUAACAAACCAAGUCCCCUUCUCCUUUUCUUCAUUUUGUGCUUGAGGUUCAGUUACUUCAACGCCUCGCGAUUUAACUCAAUCAGGUUCUGGGAUUCCGCCGCACGUCCGCCCACCCCGUUCUGUUUCCAUAAACUUGUAAUAAAGCUGGUAAUUUUAAAAGCCAUUCAAAUACUAAAACAAAGCCUGCCGAAUUAUUAUUUAUUUUAAAAAA